UCCGUUGAUCUGAAAUGCUUUUCUGUAUAGUCAGAUUUCGGCUCUAGGUGCUGUAGGAGGACAGAACUCCAAAAGAGUAACUUGGAAUAUACUUUCAAGGAUUUUCUCAAACACAGUGGCCAAACAGAUUAAUUGGAAAGGAGUAAACGGGAAAAGAGGUUUUAAAGAAAUGCUGACACAAACUCUGUUGAUCAAGGCUGUACGGAAGAACCAAGCUGCUAGCAGUGCAUCGGACAACGAGAUUAACCAGCACGCCAUCCGCUGGUUCAACCUGGCCUCUGACCGUGGAGGUGGCCGCAAAGAACGUGCCAUGGCCAGAGAGGCCAUUCAUUAACCGUGAAAUGAACGCAUCGGCCAUCCCCCAAUCUUCCACCACUGAUGAUUUGUUGAGUGUUAUGUGAGAGUUGUGGCAUUCCCACUUCACUUGCCUCAUCAAUGUUUCCUGUAAAGCCACCAAAGAACGCGUAUGAACAUUUUGCAGUCUUUUCUGG